CUUGAGUAUUAAUAGUUAUUUUCUUUAAACUUAAAAAAUUUGGCGGUAUUUUAAUCUAUUCAGAGGAACUUGUUUUUUAAUCGAUAAUCCACGAUGGACCUUACUUAGUUUUGUUAAUUAGUUUGUAUACCGUCGUUAUAGAAAAUUUUAUCAGAAUAAUAAUUUUCAAUAAAUUUAAUUAAAUUUAAUAUCAGAUCAAGGUGCAGCGUAUAACUGAGAAAAUAAUGAGUUACAAUAAAAUUAUUUAUAUGGAUAUAAAUAUGAAAAAUUUAUUGAAAGUGGAUUUGAAAGUAAAAUUAUAUAGAUUAAUAAUUUGAUUUUAGCUCUAAAAUAUGUACAUAUCGCCCGUCACUCUUAUUUAUUAAGGUAAGAUAAGUCGUAA
rnacentral:rRNA from 1 species